rnacentral:rRNA from 1 species
UACGUAGGGGGCGAGCGUUGUCCGGAAUCAUUGGGCGUAAAGCGCGUGUAGGCGGCCCGGUAAGUCCGCUGUGAGAGUCCAGGGCUCAACCCUGGGAUGCCGGUGGAUACUGUCGGGCUCGAGUCCGGAAGAGGCGAGUGGAAUUCCUGGUGUAGCGGUGAAAUGCGCAGAUAUCAGGAGGAACACCAAUGGCGAAGGCAGCUCGCUGGGACGUGACUGACGCUGAGACGCGAAAGCGUGGGGAGCAAACAGG